GUGAGUAGUCGUAUGUUUAUUAAGAUUUACUUUCUAUAAAUUAAUGUCCACUACUUUUAG
rnacentral:pre_miRNA from 1 species